UGUAAUUCUUAGGUACCUUUAAUUCACUUGAGAGCCAUAAAGAAUAGACAGACAGAGUGAAACCUAGGUGUGUCUCCUUAAUUAAUUAUAAAUAACUUUUCUAGUAAAACCGUUAUAUAGCAAAACCGUUAGGACUUUUGAGUUCCAGCCCUGGAAUGAACAGACAGUAGAAUAGAAAUAAAGCAGAGGAGGCUAACAGGGUCAGCUCUGCCAGAGGUAAGCAAAGGGCUGCCAACAGCAAGGGAGGGACAAAAAUGUGUCCUGCCACCACGAGGCAAGUGUUAGAUUGUCCAGCACACACAGAAGGGAGCAUGGGUGAAGACAGCAGUGCUGUGCACUGCAUGGACAGGAAUGGAAGGGUGGGAUCUCACUGGUCAUGGGUCUAUUGGUGGCUAAGGACAGGAUGACUGAAUUAGUUCACAGAGACAAGAGUCAUACAAACCUCAAUAACACACACUUGAGGUUCUAAGCCAUCUUCGUCUACAGGUAUUAACGCCUGUCUCAUCACCCACUCUUGAAUUGCAUCUGUGAUGUGAGGGACAACUGAGAAAGAGAAAAGAAACCUGUGACUUGCACCAAACAAGUAGUAGGAUCAUAAAUAUACUUAAUGAAACCAA
rnacentral:lncRNA from 1 species